rnacentral:ncRNA from 2 species
UAAUAUCUUCAGGGCGGGGUGUAAUUCCCCACCGGCGGUAAAGCCCGCAAGCCGUAAAUGGCACGAUUCGGUGAGAUUCCGAAGCCGACAGUAAAGUCUGGAUGGAAGAAGGUUGAA